UCUUUUCAUUGUGUGCCAGCAGCCGCGGUAAUACGUAGGUGGCAAGCGUUGUCCGGAAUUAUUGGGCGUAAAGCGCGCGCAGGCGGCUUCUUAAGUCCAUCUUAAAAGUGCGGGGCUUAACCCCGUGAUGGGAUGGAAACUGGGAGGCUGGAGUAUCGGAGAGGAAAGUGGAAUUCCUAGUGUAGCGGUGAAAUGCGUAGAGAUUAGGAAGAACACCGGUGGCGAAGGCGACUUUCUGGACGACAACUGACGCUGAGGCGCGAAAGCGUGGGGAGCAAACAGG
rnacentral:rRNA from 1 species